UCUUAUGGAUGAGCAAAUAAAGUAUUUCUUGAGAUGGAAUCUACUCUUGGUGAAGAUGCUAUAAA
rnacentral:pre_miRNA from 3 species